UGGGAGAGCAGAGGAAGCUAAGAAGCUGCGGAAGAAUAGAUGUGUAACUUGGUCUAGUCAGAAACAGUGUUAUAGCUCCCUGUUUGGAAAACAGUACACACAAGUUUAAAAAUUACAUUGCUUCUCUCAGACUACUACUGGCAUAGUUUGAAGUACUUUUACGAAUAUAGGAGAGUAUUCAGUAGAGGCUUGCUGAAUUUAGUUCUAUUUAAAUGCCUCAUGACGCCAAGGAUCUAGGGCCACUUUGUGAAGAAAAAUUCCAUUUCUUUUCCGCAAGGUAUUUUGGGAUCUCCACCAGUAGUGGUAAUGAAGCAGUGAGAAUAAGGCUGUUAAGCUUGGAACACUGAGAAACCCGCUUGUUUUGGAUGAGUUCCCCUCUUGGAGGACCAGCUCCAAAGCCUGCAAAGCAGGAACCACCUUCAGACAAACAGGUUGGCAACUGGUGAUACUUCAAUGGAUGCGAAUACGCACAUAUCUCUUAGAGAGCUUCAUGACAUUAGAACCAUCAAGAGCAUUGAAAUUCAAGGACAGCAGAGUUUUAUGCAUGUGCUUCUCAUUGAGAACUAAGGCUUCCGUUUCAUGACACAGAGAUUCAAAGUACAUCAUCAUAUCAUUUAUGAACAGAGAAAAUUUAAGAUUUCUCCACUAUUUGUGGAAUUUUCAGCAGUCAUUAGUUCUAUUUGUUCUUGCCUACAAUAAAACUUAAAUGAUGUUGUUUUGCAAUCCUUUAAUAAAACGUUAAA